rnacentral:rRNA from 1 species
CCGCGUGAGCGAAGAAGGCCUUCGGGUCGUAAAGCUCUGUUGUUAGGGAAGAACAAGUAUCGGAGUAACUGCCGGUACCUUGACGGUACCUAACCAGAAAGCCACGGCUAACUACGUGCCAGCAGCCGCGGUAAUACGUAGGUGGCAAGCGUUGUCCGGAAUUAUUGGGCGUAGAGCGCGCGCAGGCGGUCCUUUAAGUCUGAUGUGAAAGCCCACGGCUCAACCGUGGAGGGUCAUUGGAAACUGGGGGACUUGAGUGCAGAAGAGGAGAGUGGAAUUCCACGUGUAGCGGUGAAAUGCGUAGAGAUGUGGAGGAACACCAGUGGCGAAGGCGACUCUCUGGUCUGUAACUGACGCUGAGGCGCGAAAGCGUGGGGAGCAAACAGGAUUAGAUACCCUGGUAGUCCACGCCGUAAACGAUGAGUGCUAAGUGUUAGAGGGUUUCCGCCCUUUAGUGCUGCAGCUAACGCAUUAAGCACUCCGCCUGGGGAGUACGGCCGCAAGGCUG